rnacentral:RNase_P_RNA from 1 species
AGAGCCGGGCGUCUCGUCGCUGGUCCCUCCGGGGGCUUGAGGAAAGUCCGGGCAACGAGAGCACCAUGUUUCUUAACGGGAAGCUAUCGGCGACGGUAGGGUCAACGUGACAGAAAACGACCGCCCGCCCUCGAGGCGGGUAAGGGUGAAAAGGUGGGGUAAGAGCCCACCGGCCAUGACAGUGAUGUUGUGGGCCGCACGACCCAUGGGUUGCAAGGUCAAAUAUAUCGGCAUUUAAAGGGCUGCUCGUCCUUGCCGAGGGGUAGACUGCUAUAGCUCGCCUGGCAACAGGCAGCACAGAUAAAUGACGGGACGGCAGAUUCAACUCCCCUCACGGGGAAAGUGAACCUCCGACAUAACCCGGCUUAUAGCCCGACUCUUUUC